rnacentral:rRNA from 1 species
AUUGAACGCUGGCGGCAGGCCUAACACAUGCAAGUCGAGCGGAGCGGCGGACGGGUGAGUAAUGCCUAGGAAUCUGCCUGGUCGUGGGGGAUAACGUACGGAAACGGGCGCUAAUACCGCAUACUAUGAGAUGAGCCUAGGUCGCAGUAGCUAGUUGGUGGGGUAAGGGCCUACCAAGGCGACGAUCCGUAACUGGUCUGAGAGGAUGAUCAGGCACACUGGAACUGAGACACGGUCCAGGCUCCUACGGGAGGCAGCAGGGGGGAAUAGGGGACAAUGGGCGAAAGCCUGAUCCAGCCAUGCCGCGUGUGUGAAGGAGGUCUUCGGAGUGUAAAGCACUUUAAGUUGGGAGGCGUUACCAGCAGAAGAAGCACCGGCUAACUUCGUGCCAGCAGCCGCGGUAAUAC